rnacentral:tRNA from 1 species
GCCCCGGUAGCUCAGUUGGAUAGAGCACGGCUUUCCUAAAGCUGAGGCCGCAGGUUCGAGUCCUGCCCGGGGUG